rnacentral:rRNA from 1 species
GACGAACGCUGGCGGCGUGCUUAACACAUGCAAGUCGAACGGAAAGGCCCUGCUUUUGUGGGGUGCUCGAGUGGCGAACGGGUGAGUAACACGUGAGUAACCUGCCCUUUACUUUGGGAUAACUUCAGGAAACUGGGGCUAAUACCGGAUAGGAGCUCCUGCUGCAUGGUGGGGGUUGGAAAGUUUCGGCGGUUGGGGAUGUACUCGCGGCUUAUCAGCUUGUUGGUGGGGUAGUGGCUUACCAAGGCUUUGACGGGUAGCCGGCCUGAGAGGGUGACCGGCCACAUUGGGACUGAGAUACGGCCCAGACUCCUACGGGAGGCAGCAGUGGGGAAUAUUGCACAAUGGGCGGAAGCCUGAUGCAGCAACGCCGCGUGCGGGAUGACGGCCUUCGGGUUGUAAACCGCUUUCGCCUGUGACGAAGCGUGAGUGACGGUAAUGGGUAAAGAAGCACCGGCUAACUACGUG